rnacentral:rRNA from 1 species
CCGGGAUUGCCUCAGUAACGGCGAGUGAAGCGGCAAGAGCUCAAAUUUGAAAGCUGGCCCCCUCGGGGUCCGCAUUGUAAUUUGCAGAGGAUGCUUCGGGAGUGGCCCCCAUCUAAGUGCCCUGGAACGGGCCGUCAUAGAGGGUGAGAAUCCCGUCUGGGAUGGGGUGCCCACGCCCGUGUGAAGCUCCUUCGACGAGUCGAGUUGUUUGGGAAUGCAGCUCUAAAUGGGUGGUAAAUUUCAUCUAAAGCUAAAUACUGGCCGGAGACCGAUAGCGCACAAGUAGAGUGAUCGAAAGAUGAAAAGCACUUUGAAAAGAGAGUUAAACAGCACGUGAAAUUGUUGAAAGGGAAGCGCUUGCGACCAGACUCGCCCACGGGGUUCAGCCGGCAUUCGUGCCGGUGUACUUCCCCGCGGGCGGGCCAGCGUCGGUUUGGGCGGCCGGUCAAAGGCCCUUGGAAUGUACCGCCCCCCGGGGCGGCUUAUAGCCAAGGGUGCCA